rnacentral:rRNA from 1 species
AGCUCCAAUAGCGUAUACUAAAGUUGUUGCAGUUAAAAAGCUCGUAGUUGGAUUUCUGACAGGGGCGACUGGUGGGGCUCGCAAGGGUCCCGACUUACGUUGGCUCUUGUCAUCCUUGGGGAGAGCCUUGCUGCCAUUAGCUUGGUGGUUUGGGGAUCCUCAUCGUUUACUGUGAAAAAAUUAGAGUGUUCAAAGCAGGCUUAGGCCCUGAAUACAUUAGCAUGGAAUAAUAAGAUAGGACCUCGGCGGUCUAUUUUGUUGGUUUGCACGCCAAGGUAAUGAUUAAUAGGGAUAGUUGGGGGUAUUCGUAUUCAAUUGUCAGAGGUGAAAUUCUUGGAUUUAUGGAAGACGAACUACUGCGAAAGCAUUUACCAAGGAUGUUUUCA